rnacentral:rRNA from 1 species
GUGCCAGCAGCCGCGGUAAUACCGGCGCCUCAAGUGGUAGUCGCUUUUAUUGGGCCUAAAACGUCCGUAGCCGGUCUGAUACAUUCGUGGGUAAAUCAACCAGCUCAACUGGUUGAAUUCUGCGAGGACGGUCAGACUUGGGACCGGGAGAGGUGUGGGGUACGCUCAGGGUAGGGGUAAAAUCCUGUCAUCCUGAGGACCACCUGUUGCGAAGGCUCCACACUAGAACGGAUCCGACGGUCAGGGACGAAGCCUAGGGGCACGAACCGGAUUAGAUACCCGGGUAGUCCUAGGUGUAAACGCUGUGGACUUGAUGUUGGGGACGCUCCGAGCGUUCCCAGUGUCGAAGCGAAGGGGAUAAGUCCACUGCCUGGGGAGUACGGUCGCAAGGCUGAAACCUAAAGGAAUUGGCGGGGGAGCACUGCAACGGGAGGAGCGUGCGGUUUAAUUGGAUUCAACGCCGGAAAACUCACCAGGGCCGACUGUUAGAUGAAGACCAGCGUGAUGAGCUUGUCGGAUUUUCAGAGAGGUGGUGCAUGGCCGUCGUCAGUUCGUACUGUAAAGCGUUCUGUUAAGUCAGAUAACGAACGAGACCCUCAUCUCUAUUUGCUACCCGUCUCUCCGGAGACGGCGCACUAUAGGGAGACCGCUGGUGUUAAACCAGAGGAAGGCGAGGGCAACGACAGGUCAGUAUGCCCCGAAUGUCCUGGGCUACACGCGCGCUACAAAGGACGGGACAAUGGGAAGCCAGGCCGAGAGGCCGAGCUACCCCGAAACCCGUUCAUAGUUCGGAUCGUGGGCUGUAACUCGCCCACGUGAAGCUGGAUUCCGUAGUAAUCGUGUUUCAAUAUAGCACGGUGAAUAUGCCCCUGCUCCUUGCACACACCGCCCGUC